AGGUUAAGUUACAUCUGAAGGUGAAGUGACAUUGGACUGAGGCAGCUUCCAUCCCAAGGCAGCUACAGACAUACAAUUCAGAGAAGCUUUGUGCAAAAAAGAUUCAAGAUGCUCCUGAUCAUCCUGAUUCAACUCCUGAUCGUCUCAUCAGCAAAUGUCCAGGCAACCACAACUGUAGCACCUACAACUGCAGCACCCACCACUGUAGCACCUACAACUGCAGCACCCACCACGACUGCUGGUGGUGUCAUCACCACCACGGCCGUAGCACCCACCACGAUGGUUGCAGCACCCAUCACAACUCCUGCUGGUGUCAUCACCACGACGGCUGCAGCACUCACCACGUCGGCCGCAGCACCCACCACGACGGCCGCAGCA